rnacentral:rRNA from 1 species
AUUGAACGCUGGCGGCAUGCCUUACACAUGCAAGUCGAACGGCAGCACGGGUGCUUGCACCUGGUGGCGAGUGGCGAACGGGUGAGUAAUACAUCGGAACAUGUCCUGUAGUGGGGGAUAGCCCGGCGAAAGCCGGAUUAAUACCGCAUACGAUCUACGGAUGAAAGCGGGGGCCCUUCGGGCCUCGCGCUAUAGGGUUGGCCGAUGGCUGAUUAGCUAGCUGGUGGGGUAAAGGCCUACCAAGGCGACGAUCAGUAGCUGGUCUGAGCGGACGACCAGCCACACUGGGACUGAGACACGGCCCAGACUCCUACGGGAGGCAGCAGUGGGGAAUUUUGGACAAUGGGCGAAAGCCUGAUCCAGCAAUGCCGCGUGUGUGAAGAAGGCCUUCGGGUUGUAAAGCACUUUUGUCCGGAAAGAAAUCCUUGGCCCUAAUACGGUCGGGGGAUGACGGUACCGGAAGAAUAAGCACCGGCUAACUACGUG